AACGAACGCUGGCGGCAGGCUUAACACAUGCAAGUCGAGCGCCCCGCAAGGGGUGCGGCAGACGGGUGAGUAACGCGUGGGAAUCUACCCAUCUCUACGGAAUAACGCAUGGAAACGUGUGCUAAUACUGUAUACGUCCUUCGGGAGAAAGAGUUAUCGGAGAUGGAUGAUCCCGCGUUGGAUUAGCUAGUUGGUGGGGUAAAGGCCUACCAAGGCGACGAUCCAUAGCUGGUCUGAGAGAAUGAUCAGCCACACUGGGACUGAGACACGGCCCAGACUCCUACGGGAGGCAGCAGUGGGGAAUAUUGGACAGUGGGCGGAAGCCUGACCCAGCCAUGCCGCGUGAGUGAUGAAGGCCCUAGGGUUGUAAAGCUCUUUCACCGGUGAAGAUAAUGACGGUAACCGGAGAAGAAGCCCCGGCUAACUUCGUGCCAGCCGCCGCGGUAAGAC
rnacentral:rRNA from 1 species